GAUUUCUGGCUUGAAACAUUUUGCCGGCCACGGUUUCGUGUGUUAGUGCUUGAUGUUCUGGCCAUCCUUCCAAUCGCUAUUGGUUACUCUUCAUUGAGUGGUCAGUAGUAUUGGAUCUUUUACUUUGAAAAAAUUAGAGUGUUUCAAGCAGGCUUUAUGCUAUGAAUACAUUAGCAUGGAAUAAUAAUUUAGGACUUCGGUUCUAUUUUGUUGGUUUCUAGGACUGAAGUAAUGAUUGAUAGGGAUAGUUGGGGGUGCUAGUAUUCAGCGGCCAGAGGUGAAAUUCUCGGAUUCGCUGAAGACUAACUUAUGCGAAAGCAUU
rnacentral:rRNA from 1 species